rnacentral:rRNA from 1 species
UACGUAGGCAGCAAGCGUUGUUCGGAGUUACUGGGCGUAAAGGGUGUGUAGGCGGUUAUUUAAGUUUGGGGUGAAAUCUCCCGGCUCAACUGGGAGGGUGCGCCGAAUACUGAAUGACUUGGAGUGCGGGAGAGGAAAGUGGAAUUCCUGGUGUAGCGGUGAAAUGCGUAGAUAUCAGGAGGAACACCGGUGGUGUAGACGGCUUUCUGGACCGUAACUGACGCUGAGACACGAAAGCGUGGGUAGCAAACAGG